CAGGUUCUUGCUCUGUCGCCCAGGCUGGAGUGCAGUGGUACGAACAUGGCUCCCUGCUGCAGCCUCAACCAACUGUGCUCAAGUGACCCUCCUGCAUCAACCUCCAAAAUAGUUGGGACUACAGGCAUAUGCCACUGUACCUGGCUAAUUUUUUAUUUUUCAUAGACAUGGGGUCUUGGCAUGUUGUUCAGGCUGUUCUCAAACUGCUGGGCUCAAGUGAUCCUCUCGCCUCAGCCUCCCAAAAUGCUGUGAUUACCAACUUUUAUAAAACCACAUUUCAACUCCAUUUACGAAUCAGAAAAUGCUUCACUGAGGAGAUGAUGAUCAAGCUGAGCCUUGAAGGAUUUUCUAGACAGAGAAAGAGGGUAUUUUGUGGGAGAACUUCUGAUGAAAAGAAGGUACCCAAGACUGCUCUCAUUCCAUCAUUAUAUCUGACAUCUCUGUUACACAUUCCCAUGACCCCUGAGCCAAAAUUUAUUUAUUAUCAUUUUUUACUAUUAAAACAGUAAAUCAAGCUUCAUGAUGUAUGUAGCCUACUAUAUAAAUGUUUUUCUGUCAUGACUUUAAUUUUUUUCUCAUGAACGUUUAUUUUC
rnacentral:lncRNA from 1 species